rnacentral:rRNA from 1 species
GACGAACGCUGGUGGCGUGCUUAACACAUGCAAGUCGAACGGAAAGGCCCUGCUUUUGUGGGGUGCUCGAGUGGCGAACGGGUGAGUAACACGUGAGUAACCUGCCCUUGACUUUGGGAUAACUUCAGGAAACUGGGGCUAAUACCGGAUAGGAGCUCCUGCUGCAUAGUGGGGGUUGGAAAGUUUCGGCGGUUGGGGAUGGACUCGCGGCUUAUCAGCUUGUUGGUGGGGUAGUGGCUUACCAAGGCUUUGACGGGUAGCCGGCCUGAGAGGGUGACCGGCCACAUUGGGACUGAGAUACGGCCCAGACUCCUACGGGAGGCAGCAGUGGGGAAUAUUGCACAAUGGGCGGAAGCCUGAUGCAGCAACGCCGCGUGCGGGAUGACGGCCUUCGGGUUGUAAACCGCUUUCGCCUGUGACGAAGCGUGAGUGACGGUAAUGGGUAAAGAAGCACCGGCUAACUACGUGCCAGCAGCCGCGGUGAUACGUAGGGUGCGAGCGUUGUCCGGAUUUAUUGGGCGUAAAGGGCUCGUAGGUGGUUGAUCGCGUCGGAAGUGUAAUCUUGGGGCUUAACCCUGAGCGUGCUUUCGAUACGGGUUGACUUGAGGAAGGUAGGGGAGAAUGGAAUUCCUGGUGGAGCGGUGGAAUGCGCAGAUAUCAGGAGGAACACCAGUGGCGAAGGCGGUUCUCUGGGCCUUUCCUGACGCUGAGGAGCGAAAGCGUGGGGAGCGAACAGGCUUAGAUACCCUGGUAGUCCACGCUGUAAACGGUGGGUACUAGGUGUGGGGUCCAUUCCACGGGUUCCGUGCCGUAGCUAACGCUUUAAGUACCCCGCCUGGGGAGUACGGCCGCAAGGCUAAAACUCAAAGGAAUUGACGGGGCCUCGCACAAGCGGCGGAGCAUGCGGAUUAAUUCGAUGCAACGCGUAGAACCUUACCUGGGUUUGACAUGGAUCGGGAGUGCUCAGAGAUGGGUGUGCCUCUUUUGGGGUCGGUUCACAGGUGGUGCAUGCCUGUCGUCAGCUCGUGUCGUGAGAUGUUGGGUUAAGUCCCGCAACGAGCGCAACCCUUGUUCACUGUUGCCAGCACGUUAUGGUGGGGACUCAGUGGAGACCGCCGGGGUCAACUCGGAGGAAGGUGGGGAUGACGUCAAGUCCUCACGUCCCUUAUGUCCAGGGCUUCACGCAUGCUACAAUGGCUGGUACAGAGAGUGGCGAGCCUGUGAGGGUGAGCGAAUCUCGGAAAGCCGGUCUCAGUUCGGAUUGGGGUCUGCAACUCGACCUCAUGAAGUCGGAGUCGCUAGUAAUCGCAGAUCAGCAACGCUGCGGUGAAUACGUUCCCGGGGCU